rnacentral:rRNA from 1 species
UUAAGCGACUAAGCGUACACGGUGGAUGCCCUGGCAGUCAGAGGCGAUGAAGGACGUGCUAAUCUGCGAUAAGCGUCGGUAAGGUGAUAUGAACCGUUAUAACCGGCGAUUUCCGAAUGGGGAAACCCAGUGUGUUUCGACACACUAUCAUUAACUGAAUCCAUAGGUUAAUGAGGCGAACCGGGGGAACUGAAACAUCUAAGUACCCCGAGGAAAAGAAAUCAACCGAGAUUCCCCCAGUAGCGGCGAGCGAACGGGGAGCAGCCCAGAGCCUGAAUCAGUAUGUGUGUUAGUGGAAGCGUCUGGAAAGGCGCGCGAUACAGGGUGACAGCCCCGUACACAAAAAUGCACAUAUUGUGAGCUCGAUGAGUAGGGCGGGACACGUGGUAUCCUGUCUGAAUAUGGGGGGACCAUCCUCCAAGGCUAAAUACUCCUGACUGACCGAUAGUGAACCAGUACCGUGAGGGAAAGGCGAAAAGAACCCCGGCGAGGGGAGUGAAAAAGAACCUGAAACCGUGUACGUACAAGCAGUGGGAGCACGCUUAGGCGUGUGACUGCGUACCUUUUGUAUAAUGGGUCAGCGACUUAUAUUCUGUAGCAAGGUUAACCGAAUAGGGGAGCCGAAGGGAAACCGAGUCUUAACUGGGCGUUAAGUUGCAGGGUAUAGACCCGAAACCCGGUGAUCUAGCCAUGGGCAGGUUGAAGGUUGGGUAACACUAACUGGAGGACCGAACCGACUAAUGUUGAAAAAUUAGCGGAUGACUUGUGGCUGGGGGUGAAAGGCCAAUCAAACCGGGAGAUAGCUGGUUCUCCCCGAAAGCUAUUUAGGUAGCGCCUCGUGAAUUCAUCUCCGGGGGUAGAGCACUGUUUCGGCAAGGGGGUCAUCCCGACUUACCAACCCGAUGCAAACUGCGAAUACCGGAGAAUGUUAUCACGGGAGACACACGGCGGGUGCUAACGUCCGUCGUGAAGAGGGAAACAACCCAGACCGCCAGCUAAGGUCCCAAAGUCAUGGUUAAGUGGGAAACGAUGUGGGAAGGCCCAGACAGCCAGGAUGUUGGCUUAGAAGCAGCCAUCAUUUAAAGAAAGCGUAAUAGCUCACUGGUCGAGUCGGCCUGCGCGGAAGAUGUAACGGGGCUAAACCAUGCACCGAAGCUGCGGCAGCGACGCUUAUGCGUUGUUGGGUAGGGGAGCGUUCUGUAAGCCUGCGAAGGUGUGCUGUGAGGCAUGCUGGAGGUAUCAGAAGUGCGAAUGCUGACAUAAGUAACGAUAAAGCGGGUGAAAAGCCCGCUCGCCGGAAGACCAAGGGUUCCUGUCCAACGUUAAUCGGGGCAGGGUGAGUCGACCCCUAAGGCGAGGCCGAAAGGCGUAGUCGAUGGGAAACAGGUUAAUAUUCCUGUACUUGGUGUUACUGCGAAGGGGGGACGGAGAAGGCUAUGUUGGCCGGGCGACGGUUGUCCCGGUUUAAGCGUGUAGGCUGGUUUUCCAGGCAAAUCCGGAAAAUCAAGGCUGAGGCGUGAUGACGAGGCACUACGGUGCUGAAGCAACAAAUGCCCUGCUUCCAGGAAAAGCCUCUAAGCAUCAGGUAACAUCAAAUCGUACCCCAAACCGACACAGGUGGUCAGGUAGAGAAUACCAAGGCGCUUGAGAGAACUCGGGUGAAGGAACUAGGCAAAAUGGUGCCGUAACUUCGGGAGAAGGCACGCUGAUAUGUAGGUGAGGUCCCUCGCGGAUGGAGCUGAAAUCAGUCGAAGAUACCAGCUGGCUGCAACUGUUUAUUAAAAACACAGCACUGUGCAAACACGAAAGUGGACGUAUACGGUGUGACGCCUGCCCGGUGCCGGAAGGUUAAUUGAUGGGGUUAGCGCAAGCGAAGCUCUUGAUCGAAGCCCCGGUAAACGGCGGCCGUAACAAUAACGGUCCUAAGGUAGCGAAAUUCCUUGUCGGGUAAGUUCCGACCUGCACGAAUGGCGUAAUGAUGGCCAGGCUGUCUCCACCCGAGACUCAGUGAAAUUGAACUCGCUGUGAAGAUGCAGUGUACCCGCGGCAAGACGGAAAGACCCCGUGAACCUUUACUAUAGCUUGACACUGAACAUUGAGCCUUGAUGUGUAGGAUAGGUGGGAGGCUUUGAAGUGUGGACGCCAGUCUGCAUGGAGCCGACCUUGAAAUACCACCCUUUAAUGUUUGAUGUUCUAACGUUGACCCGUAAUCCGGGUUGCGGACAGUGUCUGGUGGGUAGUUUGACUGGGGCGGUCUCCUCCUAAAGAGUAACGGAGGAGCACGAAGGUUGGCUAAUCCUGGUCGGACAUCAGGAGGUUAGUGCAAUGGCAUAAGCCAGCUUGACUGCGAGCGUGACGGCGCGAGCAGGUGCGAAAGCAGGUCAUAGUGAUCCGGUGGUUCUGAAUGGAAGGGCCAUCGCUCAACGGAUAAAAGGUAC